AUACGGAGGAUGCGAGCGUUAUCCGGAUUUAUUGGGUUUAAAGGGUGCGUAGGCGGAAAGGUAAGUCAGCGGUGAAACUCAGGUGCUCAACACCUGCCGUGCCGUUGAUACUGUUUUUCUGGAAUGCGGAUGCUGUGGGAGGAAUGUGUGGUGUAGCGGUGAAAUGCAUAGAUAUCACACAGAACACCGAUUGCGAAGGCAUCUCACAAAUCCGUGAUUGACGCUGAGGCACGAAAGUGUGGGGAUCGAACAGGAUUAGAUACCCUGGUAGUCCACACUGUAAACGAUGAUAACUCGCUGUUGGCGAUAUACAGUCAGUGGCCAAGCGAAAGCGAUAAGUUAUCCACCUGGGGAGUACGUCGGCAACGAUGAAACUCAAAGGAAUUGACGGGG
rnacentral:rRNA from 1 species